CAUGUAGCCUAUUCUAUUUACCAAUACCCAAUGUAUUAUGCAUGGGCAGCAUACUAGUGAGGAGGUUGGGACAUGUCUCAUGUCAUGUUAGAUCACAUCCUGAGGGUCUAAGCUUUCAGAAAAUAUAUGGUUUAUAUAGUUGAAUCAGU